UGGGGAAUCUUGCGCAAUGGCCGAAAGGCUGACGCAGCGACGCCGCGUGUGGGAUGAAGGUCUUCGGAUUGUAAACCACUGUCGGGAGGGACGAAGCUCUGACGGUACCUCCAAAGGAAGCACCGGCUAACUCUGUGCCAGCAGCCGCGGUAAUACAGAGGGUGCGAGCGUUGUCCGGAAUCACUGGGCGUAAAGGGCGCGUAGGCGGCCUGGUAAGUCGGGGGUGAAACGCUGCGGCUCAACCGCAGCACUGCCUUCGAGACUGCCGGGCUUGAGCACGGUAGAGGCUGGUGGAAUUCCCGGUAUAGCGGUGGAAUGCGUAGAGAUCGGGAAGAACAUCGGUGGCGAAGGCGGCCAGCUGGGCCGUUGCUGACGCUGAGGCGCGACAGCGUGGGGAGCAAACAGG
rnacentral:rRNA from 1 species